GACGAACGCUGGCGGCGUGCUUAACACAUGCAAGUCGAACGGAAAGGCCCUGCUUUUGUGGGUUGCUCGAGUGGCGAACGGGGGAGUAACACGUGAGUAACCUGCCCUUGACUUUGGGGUAACUUCAGGAAACUGGGGCUAAUACCGGAUAGGAGCUCCUGAUGCGUGGUGGGGGUUGGAAAGUUUCGGCGGUUGGGGAUGGACUCGCGGCUUAUCAGCUUGUUGGUGGGGUAGUGGCUUACCAGGGCUUUGAAGGGUAGCCGGCCUGAGAGGGUGACCGGCCACAUUGGGACUGAGAUACGGCCCAGACUCCUACGGGAGGCAGCAGUGGGGAAUCUGGCACAAUGGGCGGAAGCCUGAUGCAGCAACGCUGCGUGCGGGAUGACGGCCUUCGGGUUGUAAACCGCUUUCGCCUGUGCCGAAGCGUGAGUGACGGUAAUGGGUAAAGAAGCACCGGCUAACUACGUG
rnacentral:rRNA from 1 species